rnacentral:rRNA from 1 species
GUUUAUGGCCAUUCUACCCUGAACAAGCCAAUCCAUCUGAUCUCAGAAGCUAAGCAGGGUCGGGCCUGGUUAGUACUUUGAUGAGAGACCACCUAGGAAGACCAGGUAUAAAAAAAA